rnacentral:lncRNA from 1 species
AGAGCAUUGUUGGACAAGUUGAGGGCAUAGAGUGCUUUUAGUUGUCCCACUUGCGCCGGUAUUGGUCCAUUGAAAUUGUUGCACGAGAUGUCAAUAGAGGUGAAAACAGUUAGAAUCUUGACCAACUCCAUUUCUACUCCUUUGGUGGUAACUGCUAUAGCAUCCUCAUAAUUUAAGUCACUGAAUGGUAGAACUCCAAAUUGCAGGUGAUUGAUCUUUGACUGGGCAUCAUCUUCGUUGCCUGUCAUUGCCUGCCAUGUAGUCAAGCAUCUUCCUGGUAUUUCACCACUAAAGUUGUUGUGCGCUAUGUCAACAAUCUGAAGCAUGGGCCAGGUACCGUUGCUUUUAGAACAUCCAAGGCGUCCAUAAAAUCCGUUUGACCGCAAAACAAGUACACGCAAGGUGGAUAUGUUCUUCAACAAGCAAGGGAAUGUACCCAUUAUCUGAUUGUUUCCAAGGUUCAAAACUUCUAACACUGUGCAAUUGGCUAGAGAUUUUGGAAACUUACCUUCUAGAUGAUUUCCAUUGAAAUCUAGAGUUUUCAAAGUACAACGGCCAGAAAAUGUAUCAGGAAUAGUGCCAACAAGUUUGUUUCUCCUCAAAUUGAGUACAACAAGAGUUCCGGUUGCAGUCAAGCACUGGGGAAUGGAGCCACUCAAAGAAUUAUUGGACAGAUCAAGAACCUGAAGAUAUGCACCAUUGCACAUUGAUACUGGAAUGCUACCGUUUAAGUUGUUGCUGGAAAGAGACAAGAACAUGGUGUAGUUAAGGAAAUCACCAAUGUCAUCCGGUAUGCUAGAACUGAAAUUAUUUCUCGAGUAAUCCAGAUAAGUGGCAUGUGGUGGAAGUAUCGAAAUGUCACCCUGAAGCUGGUUGGAAUGAAGGUCAAGCAUAGACAAAGUAGAAGUGAGGUUGAUGGAAGGACCUUCUAGAGUUACCAGGGAGUUGCAAGACAGAUUUAGUUGAAGAAGAUUACUGAGACUCCAAAUCCAGUUGGGUAUCUCUCCAUCGAUUUGGUUCUGUGAAAGGUCCAAAUAGGUCAAUUUGGAUUGAUUCCUCAAGAAAUCAGGAAAUUUUCUCAACUUCCCAGAAGCCAACUUCAGUGUGGUAAUAUUAGGAAAGGAGGACUGUGAGGAGUUGGUACUAUAGUAACUAAUUGACAAACUGUUGAAUGAAAGAUCAAGGCUGGAAAGAUUUUUGAGCUGUUGAAUACUGUUAAGAGGGAAGGAGCCGCUGAAGUUGUUGGAGAAAAGUGAAAGAAUUUUAAGCCCUUGGAGAUUAAAGAUAGACUUGGGUAUGGUUCCUUCCAAAUUGUUGCUACUCAAAUCAAGGGUGUCCAGUCUCGAGAUAUUGGCAAAGUCAUGUAACUGACCAGAGAACUGAUUGUUGGAAAGCUGUAGUUUCUGCAACAAGGGAAGAUAAAAUAGAGACGAUGGAAUACUGCCACUGAGCUUAUUAUCACCCAAGUUGAGAUUCAAAAGACUCGUAAGAUUUUGCCAGUGAGUAGAAUUAAUCUGACCUGUUAGCUCAUUGUAAGAAAGAUUUAUGUCGGUCAGAUUCUUGGCCAUACUCAACACUGGAACUGAACCAUUGAACUUGUUCCCUGUCAUGUCCACAUAAACCAGUUCUGUAAGGCUUGCCAAUGACUUUGGUAUUUGUCCAGUGAAAUUGCAAUAUGAAAGAUCCACUCUGGACAACAUCUUGAGGUUUCCAAUAGAUUUAGGCAAUGACCCUGAAAAUUGUGUCCUGGCUAGGAACAGGGACCGAAGAGCUCCAUUUUCAGGAAAGUCUGGUAACGAUCCAUGUAGGUCUUGAUUGCCGAUUAAGUCGAUAAUCUGCAGUGUAUGUACCUGAAAGAUCUCCUUUGGGAAUGUACCUUGUAACCUUGAAUUCAUGAUGUGUAAGGAAGUCAAAUUUGGGAAAUUUGACAAGAACUUUGGAACUUGAGUAGACAGAUUGUUGCUAUCUAUACGAAUUUCUGAGAGUGAUCGAAGCUUCAACAAUGAAUCAUCAAUAGGUCCCAAAAGAUUGCAGCUGGACAAGCUCAACACCCUCAACUUUGGCAAUGAAGAUGAUAUUGCUCGACACCACUGAGCUCCCGGUGCUGAUAUGUUCACACCAUCAAGAUGAAGUUCAACUAUCUCCGAAAGGUUUCCUAUGAGCUGAUUCAAAUUUGGAUGCUCAAGUUGAAGUGCAGGAACUCCAGGAAAGGAAAUGGUAGAUAAAUCAAGAAAUACCAACCUUGUCAAGUGCGAAAUCUCAAUCGGAAUCUGCUCGGCAAAGCCAGCAUUCGACAGAUUCAAAUGACUCAAACUGGCCAACUUGUUGAACUCCGAUGGAAUCUGGGUAUAAUUGAAGUUGUUGAAAGCCAAAGUCAGGUUCUCAAUGUAUUGCAGACUGAAAAGAGCACUUGAAUUAUCAAGUCCACCUGAAAUCGAUUCGUUGCUCAAGUCAAGUUGGGUAACACAACCCUGCUUGCAGGACACACCUUCCCAAGAACAGUAAUCUGAAGCAUUUUUCCACUUCACAAGUUUUGUGGAUAAUGCAGAGGUAAAAUUGAGGCUGUUCUUCAACUGGAGAAGCAAAGAUGAUUGCUGGUUGCUGGCACACUGGCCAGAGACCACAGCUAUAUGGAUCAGUAGAAAAUAGCAAAAGGGUAUCAAGAAAAACCAUGGAAGCAAUGGAAUUCUCAUUGAAAUCUGGAAUAAGGGACGCCCAUACAACACAGAACAGAAGAGGUUAGGAUUUUAACAAGGGUUUCAUAAAGGGACACGUAAACAUGAGUACAUGACCCUUUGGCUUCUGGAUUUAAGUUGUGGAAAACACAAAAAAAUCUAGCAGGUUUGGCACGAAAGGGAAACUAAAAGUGUAAAAUGGGAAGAGGAAGAAGAAGAAGAAGGUGAUGCAGAAAAUGUGAGAUUGGUCAAAAACCAGACCUCAGAAGCGCGUUUUUGGUUGUAGUAAUGUGGACUGGUUCAGGGCAUUUGGCUUUCUUUAUGGUUUUCAUGACAGUAGCUCCUUCUUUGCAAGUUGCAAAUUUGGAAUAUUCAAACCCAGUAAGUACUGUCCUUUCCCAAGUUUGUUAUUGACUUCUUGACUUAUUCCCUAUUUUUUUCCCUCUAGUAUAUCUUCCUAAAAUUUUUAUUGGUCACUAAGUUGCAUUUCUAGUAUAUCUUCUUAAAAGUUAUAUCUUCUUAGAAUUUUGAUGAUCACAUUACGUAAUUAGAGUCUAUGUGUUAAAAUAAUUAUUCACACGACUAAUGCUUUUCUAAUAAUUCGUUGAUUGUGCAAAGAUGAUCUUUACAUGUCGAUUUAGAAAGUAAACGAUUUUCAUCGAGAAAUUAAAGAAAAAUCGGAAAGGUUGGCGGGGAGAUUUAAUAAGAGGUUAGUUCAAUGUAUUAUUAUUGUGUUAUUGGAAUUGUAAUCAUAGACUUCUGCAUAAUGACAAAUGUUAACGAUGAUUUAGCUUGGAAGCUAACUCCCAUAGGCUAGUUGGCAUCGAUUAAUGAAUAUUAAUCUGAAGAAUAAGACUGAGCCUUCAAAACUGACCAGGAUGAGUGACUGUAGCUUAACAUAUGCUGGAGCCUGUAUGUAAGGCGUGGUUGUUGCAAACCAGCCUAUCAUCAUUGUUUAAUUAAUUAGGUUUUGAAAAUAAGUAGGACUUUUCAUGUUUAAAACAGUGAUUUAGGGCCUUAAUUAAUGUAUGCAAUAGUUUCCACCAAUUGCUCUUUACCAGGAUAGUCUGUAUUUGCAUGCAAAUGUAUGUUUCAGCAUAUGUCAUCAUCAUAUUGCUUCUAAAAUUUGCAUAAUUAUUUUUGAAUGGGUCACUCUUAUAGUGAGAAAUGUAGAUUUUAGUGCCCAAAACAAGGAUAUAAUAUGCACGGCGUGGAAACAUUGAUAAGUCAGGCAUCUUGGAGGGUCAUGGAAAAUGGACUGGAGGGUUUAUAUUCAGCAAAAGAUGGACAACUUGAUAGUAAUUGCAUUGUUAUCAUGGAAAAUUUUCAAACUAAUAUCAAUGUCAUCCUUUGAAUAGAUUUAAGUUAUGUCUAGUAAACAUUGACAUCUAGCCAAACAAGUUGGAUACUUGAUUAUGCUUGAGAAUGAUUACCCAAAAUAUUAGCCAACUAGGAGCAUUUUAAAUGAAACAUUUGUAUACUAAUGUAUUCUAUUUUAAUAAUCUAGGUUAGACAAUUAAUGGCAAGAGCUUGAGGCUCAUGCAAAAUCAUCAUAUUUCACACUUCUUCUCAAGCAAAGGAGAAUGCAAUUUGAGUUGCCACCUUGGAGGUGUCACAAUCCAACAACAGGGCUUAAUUUGUGUAGUGCAUCUUCUAGUAAAACGGAUGGUACUAAUUUUGCAUAUCAAAGGAUAAAGCCCAGAUAAGACCAUCCCAAGAUACAUCAAAACACAUUUAAGAGAAAGGAUAGCACUAGAGGGUCUUAAUAAGACCUAAAAUUUGUGGCCUUAAUCCUAUGUGUCAUGUCAUGUAAGUAAAAAAAAUAUUUAUUUUCGAUUCCAAAUAAUAUAUCUUGCUAAAUCAAAAUAUUGCAUUACCGAUUUUACCAUUUCUAUUUCUUUUUACAUUUUAAGGGGUGAAUCAAUGAUAUUAAUGUACUUUAUUAGGUAAUGGAAACAAAUAUUACAUAUUAAUAGCAACCACUAAUUAAGUAAUUAUGUAUAAUAUAAGGAAUGUUUCUUACAUCAAUAUGAAGAUUAACUAUUUUUUAAAUAAUAAUUAGUUUUGUCAAAUAAACUCUAACCCUAACCCUAAUUCGUCUAAAAAGCAAUUAUAAUUCAUCAAAAAGAAAACACUAAUAUAAGAUAAUUCGGAUAUAAUUCAUCAAAAUUUUAUAUAAUUUGUCCAAAAAAUAAUUUAUAUACAAAUAAUUUCUCUAAAUGAUUUACAUACAGAUUAUUUAUACAAUAUACAUGUAUUUUUUUUAUAAUAUACAUGUAUUAUAAAUAUAUAAUAUAAUGUUAUUUUGAUGUUAUAUUUUUUUUUUUAUAUUUAAUUAGAUAUUUAGAAGAAGGAAAACUAAAAUAGUUUUAUUUUUCAAUGAAAAACUGAAAUUUAUUAGUCAUUGUUUGAAAUAGACCAAAUGGUAAGAUGGUCUUUAUACUUAAGUAUUACAUGACAUAAGAUUUUUUUAUAUGUGAUGUGUCUAAAUGAUUUGGCAUGCCACAUAGAUUUGAGGCCUAAAAUCUUAGGCCUUAAUAAGGUCUAGAAUCAUUUUCCUAAGAGAAAUAAGCACAAGAAAUGAGUUAUAUUUCAGAUGUGCUAAUAGAAGCCAAUUAGGCUGUCGGGUGCAUAACAUGGAUUGCUCUUCAUAAUCGUUUCCAACUCCUCCAGCUUGGAUUUACGUAAACAUGCCUUCUGUGAUCACCAAAUCUUUCUUCCAGCUGAGGGAAUAUCUUGAAUAGGAUGCUUCGCAUUGUUCUGUAAUACCAUAAACUCCAUCUCUUGCAAAACAAAAGUGAUGCAAUGGCAAUUCCAAACCCACAUGUAAAUCCACUUUCAACACCGAUAAUAUAGUACAACCCAAUUCCUGACUCUUUGUUUUCGACCUUGGAUGGUGCAUCUGGUGGCUCGCUGGAAUUACUGCAUUUUACAAGUAAAGGUGCGCCACAUAAUCCUUCAUUAUCUUCAUAGGAAGAUGAAUCAAAUGUCGAAAACUGAUUACCAAUUGGUAUCGUUCCAGACAAUUGGUUAUAUGAGAGAUUCAAGAAUGAAAGGAAAGUAAGUGCAGUAAGCAUUUGUGGAAUUGGCCCACUGAGGCUGUUGUUCGAAAGGUCCAAGGACUCUAGUUGUCUCAGGUUACCCAAUGAUGGAGGGAUAGGGCCUGUGAGAGCAUUAUUGGACAAGUUGAGGGCAUAGAGUGCUUUUAGUUGUCCCACUUGCGCCGGUAUUGGUCCAUUGAAAUUGUUGCACGAGAUGUCAAUAGAGGUGAAAACAGUUAGAAUCUUGACCAACUCCAUUUCUACUCCUUUGGUGGUAACUGCUAUAGCAUCCUCAUAAUUUAAGUCACUGAAUGGUAGAACUCCAAAUUGCAGGUGAUUGAUCUUUGACUGGGCAUCAUCUUCGUUGCCUGUCAUUGCCUGCCAUGUAGUCAAGCAUCUUCC